CCAAAAAAGUGAAAUGGAGUGGGGUAAAAUUUGUCUAUGAUCUGACAUAUUGAUUAUUACUUUUUGUAUCUUUGGUUAGAUAGAGGCUAUCAUGAACGACUUCAUUCAGCUAAAAGCAGAGUGUAAUGCCAAUGAAGCUGAAACAAUGGUUGAAAGUACACUUGAAGGUUUUUCUUUCGACUCGGAAGAUGAGGCCGACAAGAUGCCUAAAAUUUCUCAUCAAACUGAUCAAAAUGAAGGCAAUGAAGAACAGACCAAAGGAAGAACACGAGGAAAAGCUGAGAAAUGAUUGUAUGUUUUGAAACCUUUCUAUUUAAUUCGUUAUAAAAAUUUCCAGAAUCCAUAAAUCCUGGAUUUUCCAUUUCUUUAAAUGUGUGAGGGGAAAAAAUAUAACUAAAAUAUAAAUAAAUAAACCACAUUUGUUCUAAUGUAAUGCCAUUGUUCAAGUAUUUUUAAUUUAUGGAGAUCUGGAUUCAGGUGGUGGCGAAAAAGGCGGCUAAAACUGGAGGAAAUGCCCGGCUUGCAACGAGAGUAAGAAAGAAAGCUCUUGCAUCAAAAAAAAAAACCAAGACUAAGAAAUGAGAGAGCAAUUUGUUUUUCC